GACAUAGGUCGCGAACGUUAUCCGGAAUUAUUGGGCGUAAAGAGCUCGUAGGUGGUUUGCUGCGUCCGCUGUGAAAACCCAAGGCUUAACCUUGGGCUUGCAGUGGAUACGGGCAGACUAGAGGUAGGUAGGGGAGAAUGGAAUUCCCGGUGUAGCGGUGAAAUGCGCAGAUAUCGGGAGGAACACCGGUGGCGAAGGCGGUUCUCUGGGCCUUACCUGACACUGAGGAGCGAAAGCGUGGGGAGCGAACAGG
rnacentral:rRNA from 1 species